rnacentral:lncRNA from 1 species
AAAUACUCCCAUCCUGGUCUAUUCUAACCUACCAGCAUGUUGUUGCUGAACACAUGGUUUCAAAGACAUGUGCAUUAUUGGCUCUCAUGAGCUGAUACCAGCCAGCUCCAUCCAGCACAACACUGCUCCCAUUUUUGAGGCCCUCCCUGGGCAGAAGAAUAUAAUCUGGAGGCCUAUUAUUUGCUUACCUCCCUGCUGACUCUGCAUCCCUGUGGGCUCGUGGAGUAAGGGGCAUGUGAAGCAGAAUAGCAUCACUUUGGAUGAGUGGAGACAGGACAACAUUCAUUGAAUACCUCUUAACUGAUAAAACUGACAGUCUCAGUCCUGGCUUCAGAUUUGAAUCACCUGGGAAGAUUUAAAAGCACUACCCUGGAGCAUCGAAAUCAGAAUCUCUGGGGACGGAGCCCAGACGUCAGUAUUUUCAAGAGUUCCCCAGGAGACUGCAAUGAACAGCCCUGGUCAACAUCAAACAAAGGAAGAAUUGAUGCGUUCUUUGGAUACUCAAGAAAAAAAGAGAAAUGAUGGUGGACAAACACCUUCUGGAAGAGUGGAAUAGGAAGGCAGCACUUUCUACACUUGCAGAUAACUCUGCAUUAGAAUAUUACCUAUUCGUGAGAAAUCUAAGGAUGACAAAAAUGAACCAGAAAGGCUUUCUUUGAAACAAAAACUCUACCUCAG